rnacentral:misc_RNA from 1 species
GAUCCUCUUCUCCAUGCUAAACUUUAAAAGCGGUGCACGAGAAGCCAGAUAAUUAGGUUCAUACCCCAAUUCGUUCAUGAAAAACUUCAAUGUAGUCUUUAUCUUAGCUUCUGAUGAAGCCAAACAGUAAGGAAGCUUUUGCACCAUUAGGCAGAUAUCAGAAUCAGACCAUCCAAAACUGCGAAAAAUAUCUAAUUUCCUUUCUAAUUUAGAUUCAUCAAGCAACACAAGUACUUCAACGCCAUGAAGAAACAUCCCUGAAGUGAGAGGCAUAUGAAAAUCAUUUACUAGUCGAUGUACUGCUCUCUCAAACCACUCAGGACGAUUGAGGAGAAACCUAGGAUGCCUGUGAA